rnacentral:rRNA from 1 species
GAUGAACGCUGGCGGCGUGCCUAAUACAUGCAAGUCGAGCGAACGGACGAGAAGCUUGCUUUUCUGAUGUUAGCAGCGGACGGGUGGGUAACACGUGGAUAACAUCCCUAUAAGACCGGGAUAACUACGGGAAACCGGAGCUAAUACCGGAUAAUAUUUUGAACCGCAUGGUUGAAAAGUGAAAGACGGUCUUGCUGUCGCUUAUAGAUGGAUCCGCGCUGCAUUAGCUAGUUGGUAAGGUAACGGCUUACCAAGGCAACGAUGCAUAGCCGACCUGAGAGGGUGAUCGGCCACACUGGUACUGAGACACGGUCCAGACUCCUACUGGAGGCAGCAGUAGGGAAUCUUCCGCAAUGGGCGAAUGCCUGACGGAGCAACGCCGCGGGAGUGAUGAUGGUCGUCUUAUCGUAAAACUCGUUUAUUAGGGGAGAACAUAUGCUUCAGUAACUGUGGACAGCUUGACGGUACCUAAUCAGAAAGCCACGGCUAACUACGUG